rnacentral:rRNA from 1 species
ACGCUCGACACCUACGGGAGGUAGCAGUGGGGAAUAUUGCACAAUGGGGGAAACCCUGAUGCAGCGACGCCGCGUGGAGGAAGAAGGUCUUCGGAUUGUAAACUCCUGUUGUUGGGGAAAAAGAGGAUGGUACCCAACAAGGAAGUGACGGCUAAAUACGUGCCAGCAGCCGCGGUAAUCUGAGCGGGCUGGCAAGGC